GACGAACGCUGGCGGCGUGCCUAAUACAUGCAAGUAGAACGCUGAAGGAGGAGCUUGCUUCUCUGGAUGAGUUGCGAACGGGUGAGUAACGCGUAGGUAACCUGCCUGGUAGCGGGGGAUAUCUAUUGGAAACGAUAGCUAAUACCGCAUAAUAGUAGAUGUCGCAUGACAUUUGCUUAAAAGGUGCAAUUGCAUCACUACCAGAUGGACCUGCGUUGUAUUAGCUAGUUGGUGAGGUAACGGCUCACCAAGGCAACGAUACAUAGCCGACCUGAGAGGGUGAUCGGCCACACUGGGACUGAGACACGGCCCAGACUCCUACGGGAGGCAGCAGUAGGGAAUCUUCGGCAAUGGACGGAAGUCUGACCGAGCAACGCCGCGUGAGGGAAGAAGGUUGUCGGAUCGUAAAGCUCUGUUGUAAGAGAAGAACGAGUGUGAGAGUGGAAAGUUCACACUGUGACGGUAUCUUACCAGAAAGGGACGGCUAACUACGUG
rnacentral:rRNA from 1 species